AAUGCAAUAUCAGUAUUUAGUUCUUUUAUAAUCUUUAAUCAAUCCUAAUUCUAUCUUACUUUUGAGAUAUAGUUUUUCAUAUGUGACGUCAUUUUUCUGCUGUUUCAGAAAUUUCAUAAAUUCAAAUGUGACGUAAUGUUUGUGCCUUUUCACCAUCGUAUGUGACGUCAUUUUUAUGAUUUAUUGCGUUGAGGCCUGGACUGAGUCGGGUGUGUCUAUUCUGUGUUGGUCUUUGCAUUAUG
rnacentral:lncRNA from 1 species